rnacentral:rRNA from 1 species
UUCCGUAGKUGAACCUGCGGAAGGAUCAUUGUCGAAACCU